rnacentral:rRNA from 1 species
GCAGUCGAGCGGUAGAGAGAAGCUUGCUUCUCUUGAGAGCGGCGGACGGGUGAGUAAUGCCUAGGAAUCUGCCUGGUAGUGGGGGAUAACGUUCGGAAACGGACGCUAAUACCGCAUACGUCCUACGGGAGAAAGCAGGGGACCUUCGGGCCUUGCGCUAUCAGAUGAGCCUAGGUCGGAUUAGCUAGUUGGUGAGGUAAUGGCUCACCAAGGCGACGAUCCGUAACUGGUCUGAGAGGAUGAUCAGUCACACUGGAACUGAGACACGGUCCAGACUCCUACGGGAGGCAGCAGUGGGGAAUAUUGGACAAUGGGCGAAAGCCUGAUCCAGCCAUGCCGCGUGUGUGAAGAAGGUCUUCGGAUUGUAAAGCACUUUAAGUUGGGAGGAAGGGUUGUAGAUUAAUACUCUGCAAUUUUGACGUUACCGACAGAAUAAGCACCGGCUAACUCUGUGCCAGCAGCCGCGGUAAUACAGAGGGUGCAAGCGUUAAUCGGAAUUACUGGGCGUAAAGCGCGCGUAGGUGGUUUGUUAAGUUGGAUGUGAAAUCCCCGGGCUCAACCUGGGAACUGCAUUCAAAACUGACUGACUAGAGUAUGGUAGAGGGUGGUGGAAUUUCCUGUGUAGCGGUGAAAUGCGUAGAUAUAGGAAGGAACACCAGUGGCGAAGGCGACCACCUGGACUAAUACUGACACUGAGGUGCGAAAGCGUGGGGAGCAAACAGGAUUAGAUACCCUGGUAGUCCACGCCGUAAACGAUGUCAACUAGCCGUUGGAAGCCUUGAGCUUUUAGUG